GCCUGGCAAAAGCUGACCCAACCUGACAACCCGACCGAACCCAACCUGAAAAGAACGGGUUUGGGUUGAGAUUUUCAACCCGAUUAAUUAAAUGGGUCGACCUGAAUCCGACCUGAAAGAUAAAUGGGUUAGGUUAAGGUUGAAAAUUCCAACCUGAAAACGACCCGCCUAACCUGAUUAUAAAAAACGGAAUUAUACUGAUGUUUUUUGUUUUGCAAUAGAAGAUGCUAGAAGCCUAGAACUCACGCAAAUCAUAUAUGGGCAUAUCUAACCGGCCCAAAUCCUUCUCAGUUUCUCUUUCCCACACAUAAACUAAUCUAACCUAACCCUUUCAUUUCUUCUCACGCAGUCACAACAAAUUCUCACUCUAUCUACUCUCUCAGUCUCUCUCCUCUUGGUUUCUUCUCAUCUCACUCUCAGUGACGCUGCUCUUCAAGACUUCAACAAUGACUUGCUGCUCUUCUAAUCUCCAUUUCUGUGUUUCAACUUUCAAGAAGUAAUUUAGUUAGUAUGGUUGAUGAAGACUUGAAGGAGUUAAUUGUGCUUUCUUCAGAGGUAGAAGAGGAGAUCGAGAUCGACUCUACCUAUAAGAGAACGAUUGCUUGUAAAAAGAUUUUUUUUUGUAGCUAAAUGUAACAUAUUUAUACAGUAAACUACUUCUAUCUCUAAAAUACUUUGAAGUAUGAACUAUGAACUUGGUUAACUUUGUGUUUGUGGUUCUUGAUUUAGUGAACCAGAUCAGGUUCUAAUGUUCUAUUUUUAA